rnacentral:rRNA from 1 species
UACGUAGGGUGCAAGCGUUGUCCGGAAUUAUUGGGCGUAAAGAGCUCGUAGGCGGUCAGUCGCGUCUGCUGUGAAAACUCGGGGCUUAACUCCGGGCCUGCAGUGGGUACGGGCUGACUAGAGUGCGGUAGGGGAGACUGGAAUUCCUGGUGUAGCGGUGAAAUGCGCAGAUAUCAGGAGGAACACCGGUGGCGAAGGCGGGUCUCUGGGCCGUAACUGACGCUGAGGAGCGAAAGCGCGGGGAGCGAACAGG